AUGCACGGCGGCGAGGUGAAGCCCGGGAGGAGCCAAAGGAGCUCGGUGCAGAAGCACGUCAACGUCGGCCUCGUCGUCGGCGGUCUCCUCAUGCUCCUCACCUAUCUCGUCGCUCGGCAUCUCGCCGUCAGCCUACCCCCUCAUGUUGUCAUUACGGAAGUAGGACAGAUCAUGGAUCAUAAUAACAUCAAAGAUCCCCAUGAAACAGAGAAUGGCAAGGUGGUGUGCAGCACGGCGGGGCGCUCCUAUGACCUAUCCGACACAUGCGAAGUGGACGGCGACGUCCGCACCAACGGCACUGCCCUGUCGGUGACCCUCGUCCCGGCGAGCGGGUCCGAGUCAGAGCGCCGGGAGUGGAUGAUCACGCCAUACUCGCGCAAGCUCGACGGCAUAAGGAAGGUCACCGUGACGCAGCUACAGGACCGGGCCGCCGCGGUGCCAUGCACGGUGACCCACGACGUGCCGGCCGUCCUCUUCGCGAUCGACGGGUACGCGGGCAACUACUGGCACGACUACAGCGACAUACUGGCGCCGGUCUUCAUCGCGUCGCGGCGGUACCACGGCGAGGUCAUGUUCCUCAUCGCCAACAUCCGGCUCCAUCCGCAGUGGCCGGUCAAGUACAGGGCCUUCCUGCGGGGGCUGUCCAAGUACGACGCGGUGGACAUGGACGGCGACGCGCAGGUCCGGUGCUUCCCGCGCGUCACCGUGGGGCUCCGACUCUACAAGGAGCUGAGCAUCGUUCCCGAGCUGGUGCCGGGGGGCCGCCUCUCCAUGGCCGACUUCACCCGGUUCCUGCGCGAGACCUACGCGCUCCCACGCGGGUUCGAGGCGGUGGUGGCGGAGCUGCGUGGCGACGCGCCCGACGCGGAGCAGGCGCGGGUGGUGAACUCGUUCGACGUGGUGCUAGGCAUCCACAGCGCGGGGCUGACGAACGCGCUGUUCCUGCCGCCGGGUGGCGUGCUGAUCCAGGUGGUGCCGUACGGGAAGAUGGGGUUCAUCGCGAGCACCGCGUUCGGCUCGCCCUCCGCAGACAUGGGGCUCGGCUACUUCGACUACGACGUGAGCGUGGACGAGAGCUCGCUGCUGGAGGCGCUGGGGCCGGAGCACCCGGCGAUCAAGGACCCCGACUCCGUCCACCGCAGUGUUGGCGCCGCUCCUCUCGCAGCACCGCUUAAUCUUCUACCUCGAGCUGCCUCGCACAACUCUCCUGAGGUUUCUCUCUUCAUCUUCUCUCACGAACACAUGAGAACACACACAUACACACGCAUGAACCAAGGGAGACCAGAAGAGCUUUGCCGUGAGGCCCUUCCCUUGGUGUACAGAACGCUACAUUUUUCUGCUCUAGCCCUCACGGCCUCCUUUUCAUUCAUCUGA
rnacentral:rRNA from 1 species